rnacentral:rRNA from 1 species
GAUGAACGCUGGCGGCGUGCCUAAUACAUGCAAGUCGAGCGAACAGACGAGGAGCUUGCUCCUCUGACGUUAGCGGCGGACGGGUGAGUAACACGUGGAUAACCUACCUAUAAGACUGGGAUAACUUCGGGAAACCGGAGCUAAUACCGGAUAAUAUAUUGAACCGCAUGGUUCAAUAGUGAAAGACGGUUUUGCUGUCACUUAUAGAUGGAUCCGCGCCGCAUUAGCUAGUUGGUAAGGUAAUGGCUUACCAAGGCAACGAUGCGUAGCCGACCUGAGAGGGUGAUCGGACACACUGGAACUGAGACACGGUCCAGACUCCUACGGGAGGCAGCAGUAGGGAAUCUUCCGCAAUGGGCGAAAGCCUGACGGAGCAACGCCGCGUGAGUGAUGAAGGUCUUCGGAUCGUAAAACUCUGUUAUUAGGGAAGAACAAAUGUGUAAGUAACUAUGCACGUCUUGACGGUACCUAAUCAGAAAGCCACGGCUAACUACGUG